rnacentral:rRNA from 1 species
GACGAACGCUGGCGGCGUGCUUAACACAUGCAAGUCGAACGGAAAGGCCCUGCUUUUGUGGGGGGCUCGAGUGGCGAACGGGUGAGUAACACGUGAGUAACCUGCCUUUGACUUUGGGAUAAAGUCAGGAAAAUGGGGCUAAUACCGGAUAGGAGCGCCUGCUGCAUGGUGGGGGUUGGAAAGUUUCGGCGGUUGGGGAUGGACUCGCGGCUUAUCAGCUUGUUGGUGGGGUAGUGGCUUACCAAGGCUUUGACGGGUAGCCGGCCUGAGAGGGUGACCGGCCACAUUGGGACUGAGAUACGGCCCAGACUCCUACGGGAGGCAGCAGUGGGGAAUAUUGCACAAUGGGCGGAAGCCUGAUGCAGCAACGCCGCGUGCGGGAUGACGGCCUUCGGGUUGUAAACCGCUUUCGCCUGUGACGAAGCGUGAGUGACGGUAAUGUGUAAAGAAGCACCGGCUAACUACGUG